AUUGAACGCUGGCGGCAUGCCUAACACAUGCAAGUCGAACGGCAGCACAGCAGUAGCAAUACUGUGGGUGGCGAGUGGCGGACGGGUGAGGAAUACGUCGGAAUCUGCCCAGUCGUGGGGGAUAACUAGCCGAAAGGUUAGCUAAUACCGCAUACGACCGAGAGGUGAAAGCGGGGGACCGCAAGGCCUCGCGCGAUUGGAUGAGCCGACGCCGGAUUAGCUAGUUGGCGGGGUAAAGGCCCACCAAGGCGACGAUCCGUAGCUGGUCUGAGAGGAUGAUCAGCCACACUGGAACUGAGACACGGUCCAGACUCCUACGGGAGGCAGCAGUGGGGAAUAUUGGACAAUGGGCGCAAGCCUGAUCCAGCAAUGCCGCGUGUGUGAAGAAGG
rnacentral:rRNA from 1 species